rnacentral:rRNA from 1 species
UAAUUAAGCGGAGGAAAAGAAACUAACAAGGAUUCCCUCAGUAGCGGCGAGUGAAGCGGGAAAAGCUCAACCUGAAAAUCGGCCACCCGGUCGAGUUGUAGGCUAGAGGUUAUCUCUCGCGUCAGAACGAGUGCAAGUUCGUUUGGAACAACGCGCCAGGGAGGGUGAAAGCCCCGUCCCACUCGGUAACUGAUGCCUGACGAGAGGUACCCGGAGAGUCGGGUUGCUUGGGAGUGCAGCCUUAAGUGGGUGGUAAACUUCAUCUAAAGCUAAAUACUAGCGGGAGACCGAUAGCGAACAAGUACCGUGAGGGAAAGAUGGAAAGAACUUUGAAAAGAGAGUGAAAUAGGACCUGAAACCGUUAAGAGGAUAAGCGAUGGAAACUUGCCACGCAUGCGGGAUUCUAGCAAGGCACCUCGCCUUGUGUACCAGACCGUAUGCCUGUCAGCAUCAGUUGGGGCUGCAGAACAUUAGGGCGUUGCGCUCGCUUCGGCGGGACAUGCUUGACCUCUGCCGCGCCGACUGAGGAGUACAGCUGUGCUUUGACUGCCCUAAGGCCCUGUAGGCGCCGAGAGGAGGAUUCUACGGAAUGCUUGCUCGCCGUUUGCAGCGUCGUGGGACUCGGAUCUGCACACUGGGAUGCUGGCCAACGGUUUCCAUCGGCCCG